CCAACGUGGACACCCCGGGAGGUCACGCUCCCCGGGCUCUGUCCAGGUGGCAUAGGGGAGCACAGGGCUCUGCCCAAUGAUGUACAGUCCCUUCCCACGCCAUUGGAGAGGAGGCGGGCCUCGAGUCUGCGCCUGCAUAUUCCUACAGCUUCCCAGAGUCCUGUGGACAAUGACUGGGGAGACAAACCAUGCAGGAAACAGUC
ensembl:snoRNA SNORA73 Small nucleolar RNA SNORA73 family